rnacentral:tRNA from 1 species
AUCUUUUUAGUAUAAAAAUUAUAAUUGACUUCCAAUCAAUAGAUCUAUAAAUAGAAAAGAUA